rnacentral:piRNA from 1 species
UGAGUGAUAGGAUAAAAGGUCUGUGCCACC